UACCAGCACCCCGAGUGGUCGGGACGAUUAUUGGGCCUAAAGCAUCCGUAGCCGGCCUUACAAGUCCACCGUUAAAUCCAGCUGCUUAACAGAUGGGCUGCGGAGGAUACUAUAAGACUAGGAGGCAGGAGAGGCAAGCGGUACUCAGUGGGUAGGGGUAAAAUCCGUUGAUCCAUUGAAGACCACCAGUGGCGAAGGCGGCUGGCCAGAAUGCGCUCGACGGUGAGGGAUGAAAGCUGGGGGAGCAAACCGG
rnacentral:rRNA from 1 species